rnacentral:rRNA from 1 species
AUGACCGAGUGCCGAACGGACGACACCUCCGCGUUCAACACACGUACGGAGCAGCGACGUCUCCUCCUUCUUGAUCCAGCAAGGGAGAAGGAGAGGUUGAUGGAGAUCCAGCAGCACGACGGCGUGGUGGUGGAUGUAGCGGGAUCUCGGCAGGGCUUCGCCAAGCUUCUGCGAGAGGGAGAGGUGUUGCAGGGGAGGAGGGAGGCGCCAAAGGCUGUGGUAUUGCUGCCCUCCCUCCCCCCUUUAUAUAGGCCCCCUGGGAGGGGGGGCGCCGGCCAACAACCCAUCUAUGGGGGGGCGGCGGCAGGGGGGAAACUUCCCCCCCAAGUCAAGUGGGGCGCCCCCCCACCCUAG